ACCACAGGAGGAGCAAAGCCUUCAGGCAGUCACGGAUCAGGUCAUUUGACAAUCGAAAAAAUUCCUAUUGUAGAAUUCAAAAGAAUUACUGAAGAGGAGAAAAGCCUUCAGGCAGUCACAGAUCAGGGAAACACAAACACAGAGGGAGAGUCACCAAGUGAACUGAAGAUAACUUGACGGCAUAUUUAAGAACAGGGGAACAACACGAACACAGAGGGAGAGUCACCAAGUGAACUGAAGAGAACCAGUCGACUGAAGAGAAGUGCUCACAGCCCAGGCAGACGAUACAGCACACUUAUAGAAGACACACCACUAGCCUCUUCCCGCCCUGUCCACCAUCUCUUUGACCUUCUGCCCUCAGGCAGACGAUACAGCACACUUAUAGAAGACACA